CAAGAGGGUUGUGCUUAUAAAGAGAAGUCUGGACCACCGACUCAUGUCUGUAUGGCAGGGUGAAGAGUCACCGCUGCUGGCAGAGAUGGAAUGAUGCACGGACAAUGUACUGACUUGAAUGUCAGGAAUCCUGGCUGAUAUGCUGAGUGUCUUCCUGUCUUAGCAGCCCAGAUGCUCUGAAUUCACCAAGCCCAUGAGUCACUGAAAUAUCACCAGGUGUUCUAAUAUCUGCUUACUGUGGUGGUUAUGCUGUUCCCCACAGGCCUUGUCAACUACCCAACUUUCUGAUCUGGCUGUACAUCUAUUUUCUUUUGGUCACAGGAAGCACCAGAUGAAAAGUCAAGAACACGGGGAGAUAGACCUAGCUCCUUGGCCAUGGAAAAGACUUUCAGAAGCUAUAGGGACCAGAAGCCACCCUCAAGAGUCAUCGAAGCUGAAGAAAGUGUCUCUAGCAUCUGAAUAAAAG